UUGAACGCUGGCGGCAUGCUUUACACAUGCAAGUCGAACGGCAGCGGGGGCUUCGGCCUGCCGGCGAGUGGCGAACGGGUGAGUAAUGCAUCGGAACGUACCCAGUCGUGGGGGAUAACUACGCGAAAGCGUGGCUAAUACCGCAUACGCCCUGAGGGGGAAAGCGGGGGACCUUCGGGCCUCGCGCGAUUGGAGCGGCUGAUGUCGGAUUAGCUGGUUGGUGGGGUAAAGGCCUACCAAGGCGACGAUCCGUAGCUGGUCUGAGAGGAUGAUCAGCCACACUGGGACUGAGACACGGCCCAGACUCCUACGGGAGGCAGCAGUGGGGAAUUUUGGACAAUGGGGGCAACCCUGAUCCAGCCAUGCCGCGUGAGUGAAGAAGGCCUUCGGGUUGUAAAGCUCUUUCAGCCGGGAAGAAAAUGCAUGGGUUAAUACCCUGUGCAGAUGACGGUACCGGAAUAAGAAGCACCGGCUAACUACGU
rnacentral:rRNA from 1 species